UGACUCAAAAUUGGAUAAAUUCAAAAACAAAGACAUUAUGUUAUAAAAAAUCCUAAAUGUCUGUGUUUCUUACCUCAAACAUUCUGUUGUUUCUUCUCCUGUUUUUGCCUACCCUAGGGAAGUUUGAUCCUAGAACGAUGACGGAAAUUGGCUACAGAUCGCUAUGCAAGGAAACUUCAGGAGCCCUGAAAUAUGGAUUCCAUAAAUUCAUUAAGAAAAAUUUGGCAAAUAUCAAGUUACAAAAAAUCAGACAAUUUGUUGUCAAUCAAGAGCGUUGUGGCCACACAUUCUUGAAACAGAGAAAAAUCUAGACAUGGAGCCAACUGGUAAACCUACUAAACCUUCUAAACCUACUAAAACCGAAGUUCACCCAUUUCAUUUGCUCAUCUACUACAAUCAGGCAUUUGGAGGAAUUGGCUUCGACGCGUUGGGCCCAGAUGAAGUCUGUUUUAUCAGACAAGACGACAAGUGUCGGGUCCCAAUUGGUUUAACGGCUGCUAAAGAGCAAAGUCCCUUGCUAAUGCACGUCGAAUCUCGAGUCAGUCUACCCGAUCACGACUGGGUUGUAGCUGAAAGGCACAAGCUAAUACCUUCUGUCUAUGCUGGGAUAAAUAUUCAGUCAAAUGGAUUAGUUAGAUCGACAAGCAGUUGGGUAUUCCGGCCGGACAUAUAUCGCUAUUAGAUCCGGCAAGCACUCUUCGUCUACGGCAUUUAGCCACGCUUUCGAUUUCGAAAAGUUAUUGCUUCUUCCCGAAUUUGAUUCGACAACUAAAUCUGGAGAAGAACGUCUCGUCAAACCAAUCGUCGUCUUCACUGUUGAUGGUGGGCCAGACGAAAAUCCCCGGUACCAGAAAGUUAUUAAAUUGCCAUUCAUCAUUUCUUCAAGCACGACCUUGACACUUGAUUCAUAGCUACCAAAACACCGGGCAGAAGCGCUUU
rnacentral:misc_RNA from 1 species